rnacentral:rRNA from 1 species
AACGAACGCUGGCGGCAUGCCUAACACAUGCAAGUCGAACGCUCCGCAAGGGGAGUGGCGAACGGGUGAGUAACGCGUGGGAACCUGCCCAGUAGUUGGGGGAUAACCGCGGGAAACUGCGGCUAAUACCGAAUACGCCCUAGGGGAAAGGAUUUAUCGCUAUUGGAGGGGCCCGGCGUCGGAUUAGCUGGUUGGUGAGGUAACGGCUCACCAAGGCGACGAUCCGUAGCUGGUCUGAGAGGAUGAUCAGCCACACUGGGA